rnacentral:misc_RNA from 1 species
AGUUUAAAGAUGUGUUACAUCAAUUACAUUCAAAUUACAGAUAUGAGUUUAUAUAGAGCAGACGGACGCCCGAGGGCUUCCGUCUCACAAGUGCACAGGUGUGUGUGGAUGAAAGAGAAGGCGUGCACAUGCCCCCGAAAGGACCAGCGACAACCGACUCUACAUUCAUUCAAUAAUGAUCCUUCCGCAGGUUCACCUACGGAAA